UUACUAAAAUUACUAGAUUAUGGCUCUAUGUACCUUUUCUUAUUUUCCAAUUCCUAUUCAACUUAAUAUAUUAUUUUCUACUGCAUUCAUCUCAGAAACUACACGAGACGAUAACAUGAUCCCCAUUGAAUAUCUAUAUCAUUAAGUAUUAUUCAAGGAUCAUUAGGCAACUUACAAAUGGUAACCAGUUCUUUAUGCAUGAGUGUCUACAAUAUUUUCCAAGCCCUUGACUGCAGAAUGUUUGGGCUUCAUCACACACAUUACAACUUUAACAGUUCUUUUGCUUAGAUGCAACCAAACUUUUCCAACUAGUAAAUUGAUACUAAGUUGCAGGUGAAGCGAGGGUAACCCUGCUACCUCACCUUGGCUUAUCUUGAGCUAACUUCACACUAACUUGUUGAGCGGUUCACACCUCCUGGUGAGGCAGUGCUGGAGAUGUUGACACUGCCCAGCAUCUCCAUGGACUUUUGUUGAGGCCAGUGGCAGGCCUCAGACUACCUAAGGCUCCUACAGCCCUUACUACCACCCAAGGGGGCAUGGACCUAAGGGCAAGGGGCGGGAGCAGCGGAGGAGAGGGACCAGACACAUCCAAACCACCACAGUCCACACAAACUCACAUCCCAUGUCUGGCAGAUGCCUUUCUCCUAAAAUAGAACAUAUAUGUUCAAAACUGCCCUCAAUACUUCCCAAAAUUGUGGAGUCAGGACAUCCACCAAUAGCUGCCUACUGAUGCUUGUUGUUGACACUGCCAAUAGUCAUUAACACCUGUUCAAAAGUUCCUUGUAUAUCAAUGCUCAAGUAGUGUCACAUUAGAUGUGUCCUGUCAGACACAAUUAUUUACACUGUUUUAGUUAAGGUACUUAUGAAAUGUUAGGCUUAGUUCAUUUUCUGAUAUUCCUUCUCAAGAAGAUGGAAAAGAGUGCCAUCAAAUGUCUUGUUUGGAUGGUAUUAUGAUCUCAUGUAAUGAACAGAUUAUGUAAUCUGAGUGAGAAAAUUACAUGUUUGAUGACUGUUUUUGUUAUUUUUCUAGAUCUUGUUUGUUUACUUUGUGUGUUUAGUCUUGAACUGCUGCCUUACUUAAUUUUUUGACUGACUCAUUAACUGAAUGUUAGACAGCUUUAGUUUUGUCAGACACUAAACCUGACAUGGCUUUAACAUGAUCUUGUUCAAUUCCUGAGUUAUCACUCUUGUCUUUCAUACCUCAGUCAUUUAUGUGCUAACCUGUCAAUAAAUACUGAAUGCGCUGAA